rnacentral:misc_RNA from 1 species
AUGUGAUUGCCACUUGCCCCCAUUGGAGGCUGUGCGCAAGCUAUCCUUGUGUUAUGUGUAAAAAGUCGUGUGUGCAGUGCCCACACUUUUAGGGGAUACCCCCUACAUUUGUGUACGCUGCAUUCAUUUUUUUCAACCCAUACAUUUUCUUUACUUCUGACAAUCUUUGCUCAUACGAGCACAAACAAUCGA